rnacentral:rRNA from 1 species
AACGAACGCUGGCGGCAGGCUUAACACAUGCAAGUCGAACGCAUGCCUUCGGGCAUGAGUGGCAGACGGGUGAGUAACGCGUGGGAACCUACCCCUUGGUACGGGAUAGCUCCGGGAAACUGGAGAUAAUACCGUAUGUGUCCUGAGGGACAAAGAUUCAUCGCCAAGGGAUGGGCCCGCGUCGGAUUAGCUAGUUGGUGGGGUAACGGCCUACCAAGGCGACGAUCCGUAGCUGGUCUAAGAGGAUGAUCAGCCACAUUGGGACUGAGACACGGCCCAAACUCCUACGGGAGGCAGCAGUGGGGAAUAUUGGACAAGGGGCGCAAGCCUGAUCCAGCCAUGCCGCGUGAGUGAUGAAGGCCCGAGGGUUGUAAAGCUCUUUCACCGGUGACGAUAAUGACGGUAACCGGAGAAGAGGCCCCGGCUAACUUCG